rnacentral:lncRNA from 1 species
UUUUUUAUUUGGUUUUUUUUAUUUUUUUGUUAUUUUUUUUUGGCCUCCACUGAACUGUUCAUUUUGGGGGCAACAUGGUAUUAAUCUUGAACAAACUGCAAACUUCUGAUGUCGUGCCGUUGUUCAAAUUCAAUGUAUUGUCUAAUAUGAUCCUUUUUGGCAUUCCAUAUUGACAUAUGAUUCUUCAAGAAAUUUGCCGAGUGUCGA